CUAAGAAUAUUCCGCAAUGGACGGAAGUCUGACGGAGCGACGCCGCGUGGAUGACGAAGGCCGAAAGGUUGUAAAGUUCUUUUGCUGGGGAAGAAUAACCGCAGGAGGGAGUGCCUGUGGGAUGACAAGAACCGGCGAAUAAGCCCCGGCCAACUACGUGCCAGCAGCCGCGGUAACACGUAGGGGGCGAGCGUUGUUCGGAAUUACUGGGCGUAAAGGGCAUGUAGGCGGCUUGGAAAGCCUGGCGUGAAAGUCUGCAGCUUAACUGCAGGGGUGCGCUGGGAACUGCUGAGCUUGAGUGACGGAGAGGGAGCUGGAAUUCCUGGUGUAGGGGUGAAAUCUGUAGAUAUCAGGAAGAACACCGAUGGCGAAGGCAAGCUCCUGGCCGAUGACUGACGCUGAGGUGCGAAAGUGUGGGGA
rnacentral:rRNA from 1 species